CAAAAGGAAAGACACAUAUUAGGGCAAGUCUUAUUGGCUCUUUCACCAGAACAAUGCAGCACAUCUUUGCACUGGUGUCUCUUCUUAUCACCACAAGGUCCACCUUUGGAGUAAAUAUUCACCAAAGUCCACCAAUUUCAUUAAUACCCAUAACCAAAUCUGUGAUCCUGAACUGUCAACAUGAUGAUAAGGAGCAUUACUACCUGUUCUGGUACAAACAGAACAAUAGAGAGCUGAACAUGAUUGGUUAUUCUUCAGGUGAAGAUUCAUUUGGACUGAACAUUGUUCAGAUUACGUCAGAUGUAUUAACAAGGAACAAUUCUGAAACACUACACUGUGGGACUGAUGAUGAAAGCUAUUUGUACAUGUUUUGGUACAGACAGGGUAGUAACAAAGACCUGAGUCUUGUUGCCUUCUCCAGGAAUAAGGGAACUACGGAAAUAGUAGCUCCGUUUGAUAAGCAAAAAUAUGCCUUUAACCGUCCAGUGGUGAAGACAGGCUCUCUACAGAUCCACAGUCUGGAGGCUGAGGACUCAGCAGUAUAUUACUGUGCUUCCAGUAUGGCACAGUCACGCAGAUCAGUUCCUCUGAGGAGCAAUAACUUCAGUCUGAAGUAGGAGAUGGAAAAUCAUGCUUGGAAAAUAUAUGUUUAUUUGUAUACUCUUUCCUAAGACAUUAAGACAUUAAAAUAGUAAUGAGAAAAUACAGGUAAUAUCUGACUAUUUUCUUUGUACUUUUGAUCAUAAUUCUACAAGG